rnacentral:rRNA from 1 species
UACGGAAGGCAGCAGUGGGGAAUAUUGCACAAUGGGCGAAAGCCUGAUGCAGCUAUGCCGCGUGUAUGAAGAAGGCCUUAGGGUUGUAAAGUACUUUCAUCGGGGAGGAAAAAACAAAACUAAUAAUUUUAUUUCUUGACGUUACCCGAAAAAGAAGCACCGGCUAACUCCGUGCCAGCAGCCGCGGUAAUACGGAGGGUGCUAGCGUUAAUCAGAAUUACUGGGCGUAAAGAGCACGUAGGUGGUUUUUUAAGUCAGAUGUGAAAUCCCUGGGCUUUAACCUAGGAACUGCAUUUUGAAACUGAAAUACUAGAGUAUCGUAGAGGGAGGUAGAAUUCUAGGUGUAGCGGUGAAAUGCGUAGAUAUCUGGAGGAAUACCUGUGGCGAAAGCGGCCUCCUAAACGAAUACUGACACUGAGGUGCGAAAGCGUGGGGAGCAAACAGGGAUUAGAUACC